GGUGAACGCUGGCGGCGUGCCUAAUACAUGCAAGUCGAGCGAACAGACGAGGAGCUUGCUCCUCUGACGUUAGCGGCGGACGGGUGAGUAACACGUGGAUAACCUACCUAUAAGACUGGGAUAACUUCGGGAAACCGGAGCUAAUACCGGAUAAUAUAUUGAACCGCAUGGUUCAAUAGUGAAAGACGGUUUUGCUGUCACUUAUAGAUGGAUCCGCGCCGCAUUAGCUAGUUGGUAAGGUAACGGCUUACCAAGGCAACGAUGCGUAGCCGACCUGAGAGGGUGAUCGGCCACACUGGAACUGAGACACGGUCCAGACUCCUACGGGAGGCAGCAGUAGGGAAUCUUCCGCAAUGGGCGAAAGCCUGACGGAGCAACGCCGCGUGAGUGAUGAAGGUCUUCGGAUCGUAAAACUCUGUUAUUACGGAAGAACAAAUGUGUAAGUAACUAUGCACGUCUUGACGGUACCUAAUCAGAAAGCCACGGCUAACUACGUG
rnacentral:rRNA from 1 species